UUGUUUUUUAAGGCCUUAAUGCAAUCGCCAGAAGUAAAAAGCUAAAGUUAGGCUAUAAACGAACUACACGGUCGCAUGACUUCGACGUCACCACUACUAAACUUUCAACCAGUAGCUUGAUUGCUUCCCCAAAAUCCUUUCAUCUUACGAAGUUACUAUUAGUUUGCAGGAGCGCAAGUAUUUAAACACGACGAGGCAGUCGAGUGGAUGUGUCAGUACAUCGGUUUUCUUGUUUGGGCUGAUGACGUUUAACAUCCCCAACAACCUCGUAGUCUCAUUUAGCCACUAAUUAAUAACACAUGGGAGCUUAAAGAAAUCAUGACUGGGGUAUUUACUGACGUAUUUUAUGUCGUAUAAUAAAACGUUCCUGCUGCACUGUAGGUUUCGGUGACUGGUGAAAGAGCAGUGUGUAUCAAGAUGGUAAGCAUUUGAGGACACAUCGGAGAGCCGCAGCCACACAUGUUUGAGCCUCAGUCAGACACAAGACUCAGAUGAGGAGUCUGCUUGGCACCAAAAUCACCAACAAACAGAUGGGUUUCGAUGUGUUCGUCCCUGAAGAAAGAUCUGCAUGUAUGUGACGGAUGUGCCUGUGACAGAUUUUAAAGGCAGUUCAAAGAAAGGCGCACCCCAGGCCAACGGACAGCGCCCACCACCUCAGAGACCCACUGACCUUUAAACAGCUGGCAGUCCGGACACACAACUGACCUGAUGUGCA